rnacentral:rRNA from 1 species
AGGACGAACGCUUGCGGCGUGCCUAAGAAAUGCAAGUCGAACGAGGGCUUCGGCCCGAGUGGCGAACGGGUGCGUAACACGUGGGCAACCUGCCCCGAGCUCUGGGAUAACUCCGGGAAACCGGGGCUAAUACCGGAUAUGACCCGAGAAGACAUCUUCUCGGGUGGAAAGUUUUUCGGCUCGGGAUGGGCCCGCGGCCUAUCAGCUAGUUGGUGAGGUAACGGCUCACCAAGGCUAUGACGGGUAGCUGGUCUGAGAGGACGACCAGCCACACUGGAACUGAGACACGGUCCAGACACCUACGGGUGGCAGCAGUCGAGAAUUUUCUCAAUGGGGGAAACCCUGAAGGAGCGACGCCGCGUGGAGGAUGAAGGUCUUCGGAUUGUAAACUCCUGUCAUUUGGGAACAAUUGUUGGCGAUUAACUGUCGUCAGCUUGAUAGUACCAGAAGAGGAAGAGACGGCUAACUCUGUGCCAGCAGCCGC